rnacentral:rRNA from 1 species
GACGAACGCUGGCGGCGUGCUUAACACAUGCAAGUCGAACGGAAAGGCCCUGCUUUUGUGGGGUGCUCGAGUGGCGAACGGGUGAGUAACACGUGAGUAACCUGCCCUUGACUUUGGGAUAACUUCAGGAAACUGGGGCUAAUACCGGAUAGGAGCUCCUGCUGCAUGGCGGGGGUUGGAAAGUUUCGGCGGUUGGGGAUGGACUCGCGGCUUAUCAGCUUGUUGGUGGGGUAGUGGCUUACCAAGGCUUUGACGGGUAGCCGGCCUGAGAGGGUGACCGGCCACAUUGGGACUGAGAUGCGGCCCAGACUCCUACGGGAGGCAGCAGUGGGGAAUAUUGCACAAUGGGCGGAAGCCUGAUGCAGCAACGUCGCGUGCGGGAUGACGGCCUUCGGGUUGUAAACCGCUUUCGCCUGUGACGAAGCGUGAGUGACGGUAAUGGGUAAAGAAGCACCGGCUAACUACGUG